UGGGGAGGGCAUGCCCACGGUGAAUAGAAGGCACAGGUCAACAGGGCUGUGGCCUCACCCUGGUGAUCCCAGCAGAGCAGCUCUGCCUCCUGCAGGAAGCUCAGGCCAGGGUGUAGGUCUGCAACAUCCUGGAGGCAGUUGGGGAUGUAUGGUGCUUACACAACCACGAGGAGGGGCCUGAACCAUGGGGCGGAACCUGGGUGUCAGGGGCGUGGCCAUAAACCACAAGACACUUCAGGGUUUGAAUUAGGGGCGUGACCUCUGCGUGAGUGACCAGGGAAUGGCUUAGGGACAAGACGUGGCCUGGCCCAGUGGGUGUGGCCAACACAAAAUCACACCGUGGGAGAACCGGACAAAAACAGUGAGGCCCUGUCUGCUGUGGAACUUAACCUUAAGCUGGGUCUGGAACACUGUUGCUGUCUCCUGCCCCGCCCACUGCUACCCUGGACUGGAAUAUAAGGAGCAGCACAGAGAUGACUUCAACCCUGCGUGACAGUAUCGUGCUUACUAUGGAGCCUUUAAACUUGUGAACAGAGCUGAAGGAGACUCGGAAGAUGUCCAAGCUUUGCAUUUUCUGUCUGUGAUUUCCAUCGUGGACCCCUGGAUCUUCAUCAUUUUCAGGACUUCAGUAUUCUGGAUGUUAUUUCACAAGGUUUUCACAAGACCUCU
ensembl:lncRNA